AUAAUGGGUCAGCGACUUAUAUUCUGUAGCAAGGUUAACCGAAUAGGGGAGCCGAAGGGAAACCGAGUCUUAACUGGGCGUUAAGUUGCAGGGUAUAGACCCGAAACCCGGUGAUCUAGCCAUGGGCAGGUUGAAGGUUGGGUAACACUAACUGGAGGACCGAACCGACUAAUGUUGAAAAAUUAGCGGAUGACUUGUGGCUGGGGGUGAAAGGCCAAUCAAACCGGGAGAUAGCUGGUUCUCCCCGAAAGCUAUUUAGGUAGCGCCUCGUGAAUUCAUCUCCGGGGGUAGAGCACUGUUUCGGCAAGGGGGUCAUCCCGACUUACCAACCCGAUGCAAACUGCGAAUACCGGAGAAUGUUAUCACGGGAGACACACGGCGGGUGCUAACGUCCGUCGUGAAGAGGGAAACAACCCAGACCGCCAGCUAAGGUCCCAAAGUCAUGGUUAAGUGGGAAACGAUGUGGGAAGGCCCAGACAGCCAGGAUGUUGGCUUAGAAGCAGCCAUCAUUUAAAGAAAGCGUAAUAGCUCACUGGUCGAGUCGGCCUGCGCGGAAGAUGUAACGGGGCUAAACCAUGCACCGAAGCUGCGGCAGCGACACUAUGUGUUGUUGGGUAGGGGAGCGUUCUGUAAGCCUGCGAAGGUGUGCUGUGAGGCAUGCUGGAGGUAUCAGAAGUGCGAAUGCUGACAUAAGUAACGAUAAAGCGGGUGAAAAGCCCGCUCGCCGGAAGACCAAGGGUUCCUGUCCAACGUUAAUCGGGGCAGGGUGAGUCGACCCCUAAGGCGAGGCCGAAAGGCGUAGUCGAUGGGAAACAGGUUAAUAUUCCUGUACUUGGUGUUACUGCGAAGGGGGGACGGAGAAGGCUAUGUUGGCCGGGCGACGGUUGUCCCGGUUUAAGCGUGUAGGCUGGUUUUCCAGGCAAAUCCGGAAAAUCAAGGCUGAGGCGUGAUGACGAGGCACUACGGUGCUGAAGCAACAAAUGCCCUGCUUCCAGGAAAAGCCUCUAAGCAUCAGGUAACAUCAAAUCGUACCCCAAACCGACACAGGUGGUCAGGUAGAGAAUACCAAGGCGCUUGAGAGAACUCGGGUGAAGGAACUAGGCAAAAUGGUGCCGUAACUUCGGGAGAAGGCACGCUGAUAUGUAGGUGAAGUCCCUCGCGGAUGGAGCUGAAAUCAGUCGAAGAUACCAGCUGGCUGCAACUGUUUAUUAAAAACACAGCACUGUGCAAACACGAAAGUGGACGUAUACGGUGUGACGCCUGCCCGGUGCCGGAAGGUUAAUUGAUGGGGUUAGCGCAAGCGAAGCUCUUGAUCGAAGCCCCGGUAAACGGCGGCCGUAACUAUAACGGUCCUAAGGUAGCGAAAUUCCUUGUCGGGUAAGUUCCGACCUGCACGAAUGGCGUAAUGAUGGCCAGGCUGUCUCCACCCGAGACUCAGUGAAAUUGAACUCGCUGUGAAGAUGCAGUGUACCCGCGGCAAGACGGAAAGACCCCGUGAACCUUUACUAUAGCUUGACACUGAACAUUGAGCCUUGAUGUGUAGGAUAGGUGGGAGGCUUUGAAGUGUGGACGCCAGUCUGCAUGGAGCCGACCUUGAAAUACCACCCUUUAAUGUUU
rnacentral:rRNA from 1 species